AACCAAAGGGGGCGAGCGUAAGCAGCUCUCACCGAAGGAGGAGCCUGCGUCCGGUUAGCUAGUUGGUGGGGUAAUGGCCUACCAAGGCGACGAUCGGUAGCCGGCCUGAGAGGGCGAUCGGCCACACUGGAACUGAGACACGGUCCAGACUCCUACGGGAGGCAGCAGUGGGGAAUAUUGCGCAAUGGGCGAAAGCCUGACGCAGCGACGCCGCGUGGGUGAUGAAGGCCUUCGGGUCGUAAAGCCCUGUCUGGUGGAACGAAACGCCUGGCGGCCAAUACCCGCUGGGUUUGACGGUACCACCGAAGGAAGCCCCGGCUAACUACGUGCCAGCAGCCGCGGUAAGACGUAGGGGGCGAGCGUUGUUCGGAUUUACUGGGCGUAAAGCGCGCGUAGGCGGCCAGAUAAGUCGGGUGUGAAAGCCCUCGGCUCAACCGAGGUUCCGCAUCCGAUACUGCUUGGCUGGAGUCUAGGAGAGGAGAGCGGAAUUCCCAGUGUAGCGGUGAAAUGCGUAGAUAUUGGGAGGAACACCCGUGGCGAAGGCGGCUCUCUGGACUAGUACUGACGCUGAGGCGCGAAAGCUAGGAGAGCGAACGGGAUUAGAUACCCCGGUAGUCCUAGCCGUAAACGAUGGGCACUAGGUGUGGGAGGUAUUGACCCCUUCCGCGCCGAAGCUAACGCAUUAAGUGCCCCGCCUGGGGAGUACGGCCGCAAGGCUAAAACUCAAAGGAAUUGACGGGGGCCCGCACAAGCGGUGGAGCAUGUGGUUCAAUUCGACGCAACGCGAAGAACCUUACCAGGGCUUGACAUCCCACGAACCUGCCUGAAAGGGCGGGGUGCCCGCAAGGGAGCGCGGAGA
rnacentral:rRNA from 1 species